rnacentral:rRNA from 1 species
CGACCUGCUAAAUAGUUCGACAAAGGAUUCUUUCUUUGGACGUGACUUCUUAGAGGGACUAUCGGUGUGUAGCCGACGGAAGUUCGAGGCAAUAACAGGUCUGUGAUGCCCUUAGAUGUUCUGGGCCGCACGCGCGCUACACUGACUGGUGCAUCGAGUUUACAACCUUGACCGGUAGGUCUGGGUAAUCUUUGAAAACCAGUCGUGCUGGGGAUAGAUUAUUGUAAUUUUUAAUCUUCAACGAGGAAUUCCUAGUAAACGCAAGUCAUCAACUUGCAUUGAUUACGUCCCUGCCCUUUGUACACACCGCCCGUCGCU